GACAGCCAGGAUGUUGGCUUAGAAGCAGCCAUCAUUUAAAGAAAGCGUAAUAGCUCACUGGUCGAGUCGGCCUGCGCGGAAGAUGUAACGGGGCUAAACCAUGCACCGAAGCUGCGGCAGCGACACUAUGUGUUGUUGGGUAGGGGAGCGUUCUGUAAGCCGUCGAAGGUGUGCUGUGAGGCAUGCUGGAGGUAUCAGAAGUGCGAAUGCUGACAUAAGUAACGAUAAAGCGGGUGAAAAGCCCGCUCGCCGG
rnacentral:rRNA from 1 species